rnacentral:rRNA from 1 species
AUUGAACGCUGGCGGCAGGCCUAACACAUGCAAGUCGAGCGGUAGAGAGAAGCUUGCUUCUCUUGAGAGCGGCGGACGGGUGAGUAAUGCCUAGGAAUCUGCCUGGUAGUGGGGGAUAACGUUCGGAAACGGACGCUAAUACCGCAUACGUCCUACGGGAGAAAGCAGGGGACCUUCGGGCCUUGCGCUAUCAGAUGAGCCUAGGUCGGAUUAGCUAGUUGGUGAGGUAACGGCUCACCAAGGCAACGAUCCGUAACUGGUCUGAGAGGAUGAUCAGUCACACUGGAACUGAGACACGGUCCAGACUCCUACGGGAGGCAGCAGUGGGGAAUAUUGGACAAUGGGCGAAAGCCUGAUCCAGCCAUGCCGCGUGUGUGAAGAAGGUCUUCGGAUUGUAAAGCACUUUAAGUUGGGAGGAAGGGCAUUAACCUAAUACGUUAGUGUUUUGACGUUACCGACAGAAUAAGCACCGGCUAACUCUGUGC